rnacentral:rRNA from 1 species
UACGUAGGGGGCAAGCGUUGUCCGGAAUCAUUGGGCGUAAAGAGCGUGUAGGCGGCCCGGUAAGUCCGCCGUGAAAGUCCAGGGCUCAACCCUGGAAUGCCGGUGGAAACUGCCGGGCUGGAGUCCGGAAGAGGAGUGUGGAAUUCCUGGUGUAGCGGUGAAAUGCGCAGAUAUCAGGAGGAACACCAAUGGCGAAGGCAGCUCGCUGGGACGUGACUGACGCUGAGACGCGAAAGCGUGGGGAGCAAACAGG